rnacentral:lncRNA from 1 species
CAACCCUCCCGCGCAGGCCAUAAGAGGCAAAUGAACCUUUGUUGGUUGGCGGGAAAUCGAGACCCUGGCAAGGGGGCUUCUCCCUUGGAGAAGCCUGAGAACUGCCAGGUCCGCGGCCGUUAACCCGCCUCUAGGGACGGCCGCACUGCGCAUGUCUGAAAGGGAACUAGAAAGGGAGGAGCGAGAGAGGGUGGGGCUGAGGAGGAGGCUGUGUGAGAAAAGGGGCGGGGCGCGCCCAAAGUCUGGCGGAAGAGCGUUACCCUGGCAACCCUCCCGCGGAGGCCGAGAGAGGCCACCGGCCCUUUGUUGAUCUGCGAGAAAUCAAACUACGAACACGACAAGCAUUAGCCUGCAGCUCGAGGAGACAAGGAAUAAAUCCAACUUGAUCAUAACAUCCAACUGUGUUGCCCAGGCUAGUCUCAAACUCCUGGAUUCAAGAGCCCCUCUCCUCUCAGCCUACGAAAGUGCUGGGAUUAAAGUCCUGAACUGACAGCCACAAGUGGCACCUGAACAGGGACUUGAACAAAGAAGGUCUGCUGGAGCAGAAAAAGUGAAACUGACCAGAUGAAUGAGAAACCCUGGGAUGAGUCUGCCUGCAGAGGAUAUAAGGAGAUGGAUAAACCGUGUGAGUGCCCUCAAGUUGUGUGCGACCAUGGAAUGGGAGACUGGAGGGAUACAUGGAUCCCAACUACAGGCCCAGCUCCUCCAGUAUGAGCCAUGAGCCAGUUGAAUCUGAAUGUGAAGAUGGAAUGAAGACCGACGAGAGUCACACUGACGUCAACCCUCAUAACAUGGGCAGCAAAAAAGGACCAACUCCAGUCUGUAAAAUCAACUGGAACACCAACCAGCAAUUGAGAGCUGAACAGCCUGCAAUUACCUUUAUUCAAUUAAAUCAAAAGCAGAAAGGGGGAGAUGUUGGAGGCUGAAAGAAUGAGGGUCAUGACCAACUCAGUAUACCACUGGAGGCUAUGUGAGCAAACAGCAAACUGUUCUCAUGAAUACAGGAUAUUGGCAAGCUGACAGCUGCAUCUGCCACCAGAAGGAAUGCUGAGGACAGUCAUGCAUCAGGCACAGUGUUCCUUGUAGUUAUCUAUAGGAACAUCUGGACCCUGUUGUAUAAAGAAAGCAAUUAUUUGAGCCUGUGAUAAAUCAAGCAGCUGACUAAAACUGUUACCUCUUCCUCCCUGUUGAUUCUACCUAAUACAUGUGAAGGGCUGUAUAAGCUCAGGGCCCUUGUUCCCUAGAAGCAAGGAGCCCCCUGACCCCUUCUUUACAACAAAUCUUUUUGUUUUUGUCUUCAUUUCUGCAUUCAUCCUCCUUCGUUCAGUCCCGAACCGACAGCCACAUGAUCUGGCAAUCCCAUUUCUGGAUAUCUAUAUAAAUGUUCAAAGCAGGACCUGAAAGAAACAUUUCACACCCCUGUUUAUAAGAGAUUUAUUCUAAAAAUCCAAAAGGUAGAAGCUACUUGAAUGUCCCUUGACAGAUAAAU